CGACGCCUACGGGGGGCAGCAGUGGGGAAUAUUGCACAAUGGGGGAAACCCUGAUGCAGCGACGCCGCGUGAGCGAAGAAGUAUUUCGGUAUGUAAAGCUCUAUCAGCAGGGAAGAAAAUGACGGUACCUGAGUAAGAAGCUCCGGCUAAAUACGUGCCAGCAGCCGCGGUAAUACGUAUGGAGCAAGCGUUAUCCGGAUUUACUGGGCGUAAAGGGAGCGUAGGCGGCCUGCCAAGUCUGAUGUGAAAGGUCGGGGCCCAACCCCGGGACUGCAUUGGAAACUGUUGAACUGGAGUACAGGAGG
rnacentral:rRNA from 1 species